CUGAGGUUAAUAAACGGUGCUGUGGCUGAGGUUAAUAAACGGUGCUGUGGCUGAGGUUAAUAAAUGGUGCUGUGGCUGAGGUUAAUAAACGGUGCUGUGGCUGAGGUUAAUAAACGGUGCUGUGGCUGAGGUUAAUACAUGGUGCUGUGGCUGAGGUUAAUACGCGGUGCUGUGGCUGAGGUUAAUAAACGGUGCUGUGGCUGAGGUUAAUACGCGGUGCUGUGGCUGAGGUUAAUACGCGGUGCUGAGGUUAAUACACGGUGCUGUGGCUGAGGUUAAUAAACGGUGCUGUGGCUGAGGUUAAUACGCGGUGCUGAGGUUAAUACACGGUGCUGUGGCUGAGGUUAAUAAACGGUGCUGUGGCUGAGGUUAAUACGCGGUGCUGAGGUUAAUACACGGUGCUGUGGCUGAGGUUAAUAAACGGUGCUGUGGCUGAGGUUAAUACGCGGUGCUGUGGCUGAGGUUAAUACACGGUGCUGUGGCUGAGGUUAAUACACGGUGCUGAGGUUAAUACACGGUGCUGUGGCUGAGGUUAAUAAACGGUGCUGUGGCUGAGGUUAAUAAACGGUGCUGUGGCUGAGGUUAAUAAACGGUGCUGUGGCUGAGG
rnacentral:lncRNA from 1 species